GAACUGAAGAGUUUGAUCAUGGCUCAGAUUGAACGCUGGCGGCAGGCCUAACACAUGCAAGUCGAGCGGAUGAAGGGAGCUUGCUCCUGGAUUCAGCGGCGGACGGGUGAGUAAUGCCUAGGAAUCUGCCUGAUAGUGGGGGAUAACGUCCGGAAACGGGCGCUAAUACCGCAUACGUCCUGAGGGAGAAAGUGGGGGAUCUUCGGACCUCACGCUAUCAGAUGAGCCUAGGUCGGAUUAGCUAGUUGGUGGGGUAAAGG
rnacentral:rRNA from 1 species